rnacentral:rRNA from 1 species
AAGCUCGUAGAUUUCGGGAUCAAUGUUUCGGUCAUGCCGUUGGUAUGUACUGAUAUUAUUGAUUUCUCACCUUCUAAAGAACCGUAAUGCCAUUAAUUUGGUGUCACGGGGAAUUAGGACUGUUACCUUGAAAAAAUUAGAGUGUUUAAAGCAGGCUCACGCUUGAAUACAUUAGCAUGGAAUAAUGAAAUAGGACAUCCGAUUCUAUUUUGUUGGUUUCUAGGAUCGAUGUAAUGAUUAAUAGGGAUAGUUGGG